GCCCGCCGCCCGCCAGAACAGCAGCCCCAGGGGGGCAGCCCCCACCAGCCUGCCUCCCUCCAGCUCAGCCCUGCCAGAGCCCCCCCAGCCAUGAAUCUCUUCCGAUUCCUGGGAGACCUCUCCCACCUCCUAGCCAUCAUCUUGCUACUGCUUAAAAUCUGGAAGUCCCGCUCGUGUGCCGGGAUUUCAGGGAAGAGCCAGGUCCUGUUUGCUGUGGUGUUCACUGCCCGCUACCUGGACCUCUUCAUUAACUACAUCUCACUUUACAACACGUGCAUGAAGGUGGUCUACACAGCCUGCUCUUUCACCACGGUCUGGAUGAUUUACAGCAAGUUCAAAGCCACUUAGGAUGGGAACCACGAUACGUUCCGGGUGGAGUUCCUUGUUGUCCCCACAGCCAUCCUGGCAUUCCUGGUCAACCACGACUUCACUCCUCUGGAGAUCCUCUGGACCUUCUCCAUCUACCUGGAGUCGGUGGCCAUCUUGCCGCAACUGUUCAUGGUGAGCAAGACUGGCGAGGCGGAGACCAUCACGAGCCACUACCUGUUUGCCCUGGGCGUCUACCGCACCCUGUAUCUCUUCAACUGGAUCUGGCGCCACCACUUUGAGGGCUUCUUCGAUCUCAUCGCCAUCGUGGCUGGCCUGGUCCAGACUGUCCUCUACUGCGAUUUCUUCUACCUCUAUAUCACCAAAGUCCUAAAGGGGAAGAAGCUAAGCUUGCCGGCAUAGCCCUGGUCCUCACCAGCCCUCUCCUUGGCAGUGUCGGGAGGCAGAGGAAGGUGACAGAAGACGAGCCUUCCCGUCCAGGGGUGACUUUUUAAAGAAUCCAUCUCUCCCUGCUCCCCAUACCCACUCCUACCGGGCUGGGGUGGGGGGCAAUCGAGGACCCAAGUCUUGGGGAGCUCAGGACCUGGGCUGUUUGUAGUUUUUUGCCUUUUAGAGAAGAAAAAAAAAAAUCUUUCCACUAUUUA